CUCGAAUAUCUCUUGUUGCCUUUUCUGCCUCUCUCCUCUCUCUAAGUCUACAAGAAUACACGGAAAGAAAAAACUGGUAGCCACUUUCACUCGUGAUUUUGGUCGAUUUAGAGUUGGAUUUCGAAGAUGGUGAAGUUGAAGAAAAGAUAGAUUAAGGCAUUAUUUCAGCACUUGGAGGAGUCAUUUGGAGUUUUUGGAGUAGGAUUUGCCGUGCAAAGUGAAGUACGAAGGGGAAGAUCGAGGUAAAAUAAUUCAUCUUAGUAGCAAACAAGGAGGAGAUGACGUGAUUGAAGAAAUUGUGUUUCCAUCUUCGCUGUCCCUUUUGAGGUGAUGACCACAUACAUGCAAGUGCUAUUUUCAUACUUUUGAUAGCAGAAAGAAAAAUCCGU